UCUGCCAUAGGACAUUGUGCAGACUCUGCUGGAACAUCUGAGAGGGAGAAGAUAGCCCAUGAAAUCCAAAAAGUUCCAAGGCUAAGGCACCACUAUAAAGUUUUUAGGAAUCAUGAUCAGCCAGAUGGAUACCGAAGGAGCCACCUCCAUGCUAAUGAAACCCCUUCCUCCCUGCUCUGGACACUGCAGAAGAUGGAGGCACAUGAGAUUCUAAGAGCCAUUCUAGAGGAGUGGAGUAUGGGAGAAGGUCAUUGAGAGGAGAUGACUGCUGAUUGACCAGGGAGCUGGACCUUGACAAUGGGAGUCUCCUACCUCUUCCUGUCUUUGGAAUGCUCCAUUCUGCCCACCCGAUCCCAUAGUUGGAGCCAUUUUGAAAGGAUAGAUCCUUGAGCAAUAUGUUGUUGAGAGCAUCUGGAGGGUAUAGAUGAAGGAACCUAGUUAAGGCCUCUAUAGAAACUUUCAACAUUUUGGCUAGCAGGGCUUCCAUAAUUUCCAUGCAAACUUCUUAUCCAGCAAGCAGUUCACCUUGGCUUAUGUGGAAAGAAGAUUUUUGUCCUCCUCCCAAGUUUACCUGUUGAAGCCCUAACCCCUGAUGCAAAGGUAGUCUGCCUCUGUUGGAAGUUGGUCUUCAUAGAAAGUCAUUUAGACCAUUUAACAAGAGAGGAAACCCAUUAAAAAUAUGCAAGCUCUUGGAAAACAAAAUCCAUAUACUAAUUAGACCUAUUAAGGCAAUUAUAGAGCACUAUUAGUGAUGCAAAAGUUAUGUUGCGCUCCUCAUGGUACCUAUGCCAAAAAGCCAUGACGUUCCUAUUUUUUCUAAAUAGAGUGUGAGUGAUCAAUUUCAGCACCACUGUGUAAUUUGCAAUGAGUCAACAGCAGAAGACAUUUCUAUGGGCAUAGAAUAAUGGUAGAGGUGGUUAUUUUACCACUCAAUGACAAUACAGCUUUGUCAGGCAAUGCUUUAGUAAUGAAGAGACAACUACAACCACCUGUUAACAAGGAAGAAGAAAUAUAAAGAGUUUCCGGAAACUGUGGUCUUUAGUUGCAGCCAAAGCUCUGAGGUUUCUCUGACUAGCAUGCACAUUCAGAAGAUUCCUAACUGCUGCCUUAAUAGCUUUUGAUGAGUGAUCAAAACAUUAUGAUCUCUGUUUCAGAAGACAGCUUCAAGCUUAUGAACUAGUAAUAGGAAUUUUAAACCUGUUCUUUGAAAGGCACUAAUAAUUGUGUGGGGCUUUGGAAAACCAUGUCAUUUAAGGAAUAUAAAAAAUGAGGCAGUGGUCAACAAAACCUAGAAAAUGCUGUCCCUAAAGGCUUGUGAGAGACUUUUUAAGUACUUAAAAAAAAGAGAGAGAAUCUCAGUUAAUGUUUAUAGCCACUCUCAAGCAAUAAGACAGGGGAUAUAACUAUCCCCACUCUUUAGAUGAAUGCUUGAGGCAGAAAAGUUAAGAGAUAUCUUUGCCUAAGAGCUUUCAGUAAGGGAAGAGAAAUAUUAUUAUUUUUAAAGAUUUUAUUUAUUUAUUCAUGAGAAACACACAGAGAGAGGCAGAGACACAGGCAGAGGGAGAAGCAGGCUUCCCACAGGGAGCCCAAGGUGGGACUCCAUCCUGGAACCCCAGGAUCACGCCCUGAGCCAAAGGCAGUGGCUCAACCACCGAGCCACCCAGGUGCCCCGGGAGGAGAAAUAUUAGAUCAAGGCUUGGGUUUCCAAACUCCUGGUCGGGCACAAGAUGGUUACGGUGAGAUGGUCCUUGAUACCAUGUGAUUAUUUCUGCAAUCUCAGUUGCCUAAAUGAUUUUUUAUUUGUUUGUGCCUUGAAGCAUCACACAUAGCAGAAGGGUAAUUAUUAUUAUUCACCAAAUGACAGCAGAUGUUCAAAGUCACUUAGGGCAGAAUAAGCAUGAAGGAAGGACAACCAGCAGCAUAUGUGCUGAUGUAAUAUCUAUUAGAGUCCUCCUCCGUGGUUUUGUCAGGGAAUGGAAGCCAUCAACAGAUCUGCUCGAGGCUGCAGAGGCUCAGAGGCUCAGACAAUGCUCACCUCCACAGCUAAUCACAGCAGAACAACUUCGUGGUUUUAGUUUUGCAUUAGUGAUUGUUAUUUCCAUUUAAUGUGUUCAUAAAAACCAUGUGUGUACAUUUUAAUUGGUAUGCUCCACGACAGAAUAAAGUGAUAUAGGAAGACAAACCUGGACUACCCACAAUUAAUGGACUGUUUUGGCUUCAUAAGACCCAGAACUUAGGAAUCCCAAUUGCAAAGACACAGCUAAUGGAGUUGCUUUUACCCAGUUGCUGCAGCACACAUUCCUCAAGCGUGGAUAUUUCUUAACUGAGGUCUUAUUAAACCUAACAACUUUUUUGAAAAAAAUUCUUAUGACAAAGUGCAGAUUAUUAAUAGUAUAAAAUAAAUUCCUCAGGGAGUCUGUAGUCUGUGGACUGAACAGUUCAGCUUUGGUCUGUCUUCAAAUUGCCUAUCCCAUAGAGUUCAUAACCUGAAAAUGCACUGACCAGGUAAGACUUUUUUGCUGUUUCCACUGCAGACUAAGAAGAGAAGCACUGAAAGCAGAAACCUUCUAUUUCAUCGUUUUAGCACUCUUGCUUAAUAUCACACCACAGGUAUUGAAGAAGGUAUUCAUGGUGCAUGAAUCAAACAACUUUAUGUCAGACUGAUGAAUAGUCAAUGUAUUGAACAAGAGAGUGUCCCCUGUGAUCCUGAAACAGCUAACUGGGAAGAGGACUGUGGCUUUGGAGUAUUCACACAAGGGACAUGGUGAAAGUUGUAGAUUAUUCUGAUUUUAUAACUUUUAAAGGAUUAAUAAAACUUCUGGAGAAGACCUAGAAAGCUAUGGACUACAGAAAAGAAGGAUAUGUCCAAUUAAGAACUUGGUUGCUAGAUGAUGUCAUUUCUAGGGAAAGGUUUAAGAUUAUCAAAAUGAUGCUCUCAUACUGGAAAAGUGGAGCUCUAAGGAUGAAGAAAAUUCAUUUGCUAAGAGAUCUGCCAGCUGGACCAGCUGAAAAUAGACAAGGGAUUCUAAAAUAUGUGAAUAUAUUGUUACCCUAAACUGAUCUCGAAGGGAAUAACAUGGAGAAACUUCCGAAUAGGUCAUACUGGAAAUGGAAAAAAAAAUGAUAAAUAUUUAGGGUGACAGAAAAUGACACAAUUUGGUGAUAUGAAUCUAACGAUAUUACUGAGAUUUAGUAUGAUAGGAUUAACUACAAGAAUUUUAGCUAUAGAAAGGUAUAGAUAAGUAUUUAAUAGAACUAUAAUGUGAAUCACAAUCAAAUUUAACAUUUUCUAGUAGCCAAAUUGUGUAGUAAAGAUUUUGGCCUCUAUCCAAGAGAUGCUUUUGUCCUUGCUUCUUGGGUCAAUUUAUGUCAUACCUGAGAGGAGUGUCUUUGUUUAGAGUGGGAACCAGGCACAGCAGAUAUAAGGUGGGACCAGCCAUACCCAGUAGUCUGAGAGUGGGGGCGGGCCAGGCCAGAAGGAAUCAACUAGGUGAUUUAUGGUGAAGUCUUUGGGUCAUAGGGUAUCAGUUUACCUGGAGGCUUAGUUCAACCAUGUAGGAAGUCAAUCAAUCAAUCCUGUCUUUGUAAAAAAGGCACAAUAAAAAC